rnacentral:tRNA from 1 species
GCGGAUGUGGCGGAAUUGGCAGACGCGCUAGAUUCAGGUUCUAGUGGAGGAGUACUCCGUGAAGGUUCAAGUCCUUUCAUCCGCACCA